GGGCAAAGUUAUGUGAUUGCAGAAUUCAGUGAAUCAUCGAAUCUUUGAACGCACAUUGCGCCCCCUGGUAUUCCGGGGGGCAUGCCUGUUCGAGCGUCAUUUCACCACUCAAGCCUCGCUUGGUAUUGGGCGACGCGGUCCGCCGGCGCCUCAAAUCGACCGGCUGGGUCUUCCGUCCCCUCAGCGUUGUGGAAACUAUUCGCUAAAGGGUGCCGCGGGAGGUCACGCCGCAAAACAACCCCAUUUCUAAGGUUGACCUCGGAUCAGGUAGGGAUACCCGCUGAACUUAAGCAUAUCAAUAAGCGGAGGAGGCACUCCGUUUAUGCGGACUCCUUAAACUCCGGCAGCUGCGUUCUUCAUCGAUGCAAAAAAG
rnacentral:rRNA from 1 species